CGCGAGAGAGCUGAAGGAGGCGCGAGGGCGCGAAGUUCCAGGCCGAGCAUCUAGGCCGCGAGCGACUGCGGCGCCGAGCCGAUGAGUAACCCAACGCCCCCAGAGGAGAGGCCACCUGCCUGAGGGCACUUCUGUCCCACCAGCAUCAGACCAGGCUGCACUGAGACCCUGGUACCAUGUCUGGGAAGAGGAAGAAGUGGGUGGAGAUCUCUGCGCCACCCAACUUUGAGCACCGUAUGCACAUGGGCUUCGACCAGCACGAGCAGAAGCUCACCGGGCUGCCCCGCCAGUGGCAGAGCCUGAUGGAGGAGUCGGCUUGACGGCCUAAGCCCCUCGUCGACCCUGCCUGCCUCACCUCCAUCCAGCCCAGGGCCCCCAAGGUAUGCAGCACCCACCACCACCUCCCCCAGCCCACACCCACCCCCAGAGUGGCCUGGUCCUCACCCCACACUCGACCCUGUAACCAACACCUUCUCACUUACAUGGAAACAGAGACACAACCCCAACUUCCACCCUGAUCCUGGGUCCAAGGCUGGCCCUUCACCCACCCUGUACCCACUGGCUCCAAGUUCUGAGAACCCCAUGCCACCCCAACCUGAGGCUUACAUGACCCAUCUGACAGCCCCCAUACCAGCCUCCAACCUGAGCCUCAUGCCCUGGGCACUAUGCUCCUGUCCCCGGACAACACCCAUCCCACCCUUGAGCCUUUCCAGAGCUCCUGGAAGUGGGGGACAGACCCAUUCCCAUAGGGUGACAGUCCCCAGUGGUCAGGGCUUGGAUGGGGGAGCCCGGAGGAGACACCUGACCCAGACCAGGGGUCCAGGCAAGCUUCUGGGAGGAGGGGACACCGUGGCUGAAGAGGAGGAGGAGAGACAGCAGCAGAUUCGGGGGAAGCCAGGCUUUCGUGGAGGAAAUCACCUCUGUGGAACACUGCGGACUUUUUGGUUUUGGGGGUUUUUUUUCCUGCCAUCUAGAGCAAAAUGGCAAGGUUAGGAUUUGAACCAACAUCUGUUUUCAAGCCCCAUGCUCUUAACCCCUCUCCUGCCUGCAUGUGAAAUUAUAAGAGUUGCAGAGCCGGUGUCUGGGUGUGGCCUGGCAUGAGGCUGGCCUGGCGGGAGCCUGUGCUGGACCUUGGGAAGCCAGCCUCGGAGGCUGGACUCUCUCCCAUGGUCAGUGGGGACUGGGAAGGGUCACAGGCCAGGGGGAGCUCACCAGGUUUGUUUCCAGUGGGUAGAGAUGGGUGUUCCUGGACUCACCUCUCCUGGUGCCCAGCCCAGCCUGGCAGGGAGGAGGGCCAAGACCCACAAGUUGGCCACAGACACAAGUGCAGCCUCAAUGUGGCGGCCCAUGGAAGGGUCCGUGUGGCCCAUGCAGGGCACUUUUGAAUGCCUUGACUUCUUUGCCACCACUUAAAAAGUGACAGACUUCACUUUCAAAGCUGUUGGCUUCUGGUGACAGACCAGCUGGAGCUGAGUGGCAGCUGCCUCCGCAGGUGUGGCCCUGGCUCUUGUGGGCCACAGGCCACAACUGACCCCCUCCGCUCCACGCCCUGCCUGGCUCCGUGGCCACUGGCCUGUGUCUCCAAAAUCCCAGCCCCUGCCUGGCUUGCCAGAUGUGAGGCCUGGCUGUGACUGUCCCACCAGGAAAUAGGGCACCUGAAUUUACACACAGGGCCUCGUGGCCAGCACUGACAUGGGGCCCCAUGGGCGCUUUCUUUCUUGUAAGGUCAGAGGAAAUUUUCAGAUAGAGGAAAGCUAGUUAAAAACCAGUAUGUAUGAAACGGGGGGUCUGCAGCCCCAGCCUCUGGAAUCUCUGCCUGAAGUAUCAGCAAUACCCAUGUACCCAUCAGCAUACCUGAAGUCCCCGAUACACCCUUCUACAAUUCAUUUUCCUCUCUCCUCUGCCCCAGUAAAGUCAGCACUUUACUGAAACUGGUAUUCAGCAUUCCCAUGCACUCCUUUAUGUCUUUACCGUAUAUGUAUGGAUCCAAAGCACAGUGUUACGCUUUGCAUGCUUCUAAAUGCUACAUAAAUAGUAUCAUAGUUUGUGUAAUUUUCUAUGUCAUGCAAACUCAGGACAAUAUUGUCCCCAUGGGAGUGAAAAUUGGUUCUUGUUGAGUGGAUCUUACUCUUCUGAGAUAUAAAGGACAGAUAUACAUAGAGUACAUGAAGAAAUAUACAAUAUAUCUUAGCUAUUAAAAUUUCAUGGGAAGGAUUAGAAAAAAGUCUAAAAAAGGCUCUUUGGGGGGUGAUAAUGAAAAAAAGGUUGAGAAACGCUAUUGUACAUUUUGCUAUUUUCUCUUAGUUUUAUGUCUGUGAGAGGUGUCCAUGUUGAUAUACGUACCUCCAGUUCAUUUCUUUUGCACUCUGCAGAGCACUCCGAUGCAUGAAUGUACCAUGAGUUACAUCUCCAUUCUGCUGUGGAUGCCACUGUCGGUUGGUUCUGUAACUAUGAGCACUCUCCAGCAUGUCUCCUUGUAUACACAUAAGUGAGCUCUCCUGGGAUGUACACCCAGCAGUGGCAUUGCUGGUUCCUGAGUAGCUGCAGAUCAGCCUUACUAAAUGUUGUUUAGGCAGUCACAGAACCUGCCUAGACCCAAGGGAAGAGACAGAAACCCCACCUCCCGAAUCUAGUUUCAAAGAAUUUGCAGAUAUCUUUAAUUUAUUCCUGGGGUGGGGUGGGGCAUGGGGAAGAUUUUUUCCCUACUCCCUCACUGCCGCACAGCAUGGAAUAAAAGAAUAAUUACUCCUUCUGUCAACACUCUUAUCUUCAUCUAGUCACCUGUUUUUGUAGACAUUGUAUGUGUAUGUUUGCAUGCAUACCCUUAAGAGUGGUUUCUGUGUCUAGAGAAGAAUAUUCUAUGUGUGUUUUGAAUCUCAACAUUCAAUUUAUUAAAGUUAGAAAUUCAAAUAUCUAAUUAUUUAAGCUUUUAAAGGUUUAAAAUUUUGUCCAAUGUAUAAAGCUAGUAAAACUUAGUAAAAACUAGUAAAGCUUUUAAAACCCUUUUAAAAAGCCCUUAAAUAACGUUGGUUCCAUGUAAAACUUAAAUGAAUGCCUUUAAGCAUUUUUAACUAAAUGUAUAAAUUUAUAAAUUCAAUUUCUUCUCCUUUUUGAAAACUACAAUUAUCAAACAAACCUUUCAAGUACUUAAGUCAUGCUUACAAAUCUAAUAAAUUAAGCUUAUAAACAGAGCAAUACUUAAGCAUAUUAAAUAUUCUAAGUCAGCUUAUAAACUUAGGAAGAUUUCAAUUUAAUAUCAUAAAUCUAAAUUAAUUACUCAAUGACAUAGUUUAAAAUUUGAAUUAAAAGUCUGUCCCAACACUCUAAAGAGAUUACAUUUUUUAAACAUUACAAAUACUUUAAAUUCUAAGUAUGUACUAACGUUUUCAGACAAAAAUAUGGUAAUAUUACUGUUCUGACUAUCUGAAACACUUCUACCCUUAAUCCUAAAUUUUCCUGGAGUUAGAGGCUACUAAUUCACUAAAUAAGUUUAUGUUAUGCCAUACAAUUUGGAGAUUUGCUUCCCAUGUAAUUUUUGGGAUUGGCCAGGACAUGACUGAAUGUUUUACUAUGAUGCUGAUGGAACAAGUCAGGCUAUAUUUAUUCUUUCUAACAGCAACUUCAAAACUUUCAGAUGGAUGGGCACAUCCUAUUCUUCUGAUGUAAGUCACAUUUUCAAGCCAGAUUAGAUUUUGUCACCGCCACUGAGGUAAUUUACCUCAUUUAAUUUUGCAUGUUUUUGGCUCAUCAGAUACAUGCAUACACUUUCCCUCUAACUCAGAAAACGUUCAAACUUGAUUCUUUUCAUGGAAUUCUUAUCUCCUAGGACCACACUCCUUUGCAGAAAUUGA